UACGAAGGGGGCUAGCGUUGUUCGGAAUCACUGGGCGUAAAGCGCACGUAGGCGGAUCUUUAAGUCAGGGGUGAAAUCCCGAGGCUCAACCUCGGAACUGCCUUUGAUACUGGGGAUCUCGAGUCCGGGAGAGGUGAGUGGAACUGCGAGUGUAGAGGUGAAAUUCGUAGAUAUUCGGAAGAACACCAGUGGCGAAGGCGGCUCACUGGCCCGGUACUGACGCUGAGAUACGAAAGCGUGGGGAGCAAACAGG
rnacentral:rRNA from 1 species